rnacentral:rRNA from 1 species
GAUGAACGCUGGCGGCGUGCCUAAUACAUGCAAGUAGAACGCUGAAGAGAGGAGCUUGCUCUUCUUAGGUGAGUUGCGAACGGGUGAGUAACGCGUAGGUAACCUGCCUUGUAGCGUGGGAUAACUAUUGGAAACGAUAGCUAAUACCGGAUAACAUUGGGUAACACAUGUCUUUUAUUUGAAAGGCGCAAUUGCUCCACUACAAGAUGGACCUGCGUGGUAUUAGCUAGUAGGUGAGGUAAUGGCUUACCUAGGCGACGAUGCGUAGCCGACCUGAGAGGGUGAUCGGCCACACUGGAACUGAGACACGGUCCAGACCCCUACGGGAGGCAGCAGUAGGGAAUCUUGCGCAAUGGGCGAACGCCUGACGGAGCAACGCCGCGUGAGUGAUGAGGGUCUUCGGAUCGUAAAACUCUGUUAUUAGGGAAGAACAAAUGUGUAAGUAACUAUGCACGUCUUGACGGUACCUAAUCAGAAAGCCACGGCUAACUACGUG